rnacentral:rRNA from 1 species
UAACAUGAGAGUUUGAUCCUGGCUCAGGAUGAACGCUGGCGGCGUGCUUAACACAUGCAAGUCGAACGAAGCACUUUAUUUGAUUUCCUUCGGGACUGAUUAUUUUGUGACUGAGUGGCGGACGGGUGAGUAACGCGUGGGUAACCUGCCUUGUACAGGGGGAUAACAGUUGGAAACGGCUGCUAAUACCGCAUAAGCGCACGGCAUCGCAUGAUGCAGUGUGAAAAACUCCGGUGGUAUAAGAUGGACCCGCGUUGGAUUAGCUAGUUGGUGAGGUAACGGCCCACCAAGGCGACGAUCCAUAGCCGACCUGAGAGGGUGACCGGCCACAUUGGGACUGAGACA